UACGGAAGGUCCGGGCGUUAUCCGGAUUUAUUGGGUUUAAAGGGAGCGUAGGCCGUUUGUUAAGCGUGUUGUGAAAUGUCGGGGCUCAACCUGGGCAUUGCAGCGCGAACUGGCAGACUUGAGUGCGUGGGAAGUAGGCGGAAUUCGUCGUGUAGCGGUGAAAUGCUUAGAUAUGACGAAGAACUCCGAUUGCGAAGGCAGCCUGCUGUAGCGUAACUGACGCUGAAGCUCGAAAGCGUGGGUAUCGAACAGG
rnacentral:rRNA from 1 species